rnacentral:rRNA from 1 species
GAUUAGAGUUUGAUCCUGGCUCAGGAUGAACGCUAGCGACAGGCCUAACACAUGCAAGUCGAGGGGCAGCACAUGAGUAGCAAUACGAUGGUGGCGACCGGCGCACGGGUGAGUAACACGUAUGCAACCUGCCUGUAAGUGGGGGAUAACCCGGAGAAAUUCGGACUAAUACCGCAUAAUACUGUGAAUUUGCAUGAAUUUACAGUUAAAUAUUUAUAGCUUACAGAUGGGCAUGCGUAUGAUUAGAUAGUUGGUAGGGUAACGGCCUACCAAGUCUACGAUCAUUAGGGGUUCUGAGAGGAAGGUCCCCCACACUGGUACUGAGACACGGACCAGACUCCUACGGGAGGCAGCAGUGAGGAAUAUUGGUCAAUGGGCGAGAGCCUGAACCAGCCAAGUCGCGUGAAGGAAGAAGGUUCUAUGGAUUGUAAACUUCUUUUGCAGGGGAAUAAAGGACGGUACGUGUACUGUUUUGUAUGUACCUGCGAAAAGGAUCG